rnacentral:rRNA from 1 species
UACGUAGGGUGCGAGCGUUAAUCGGAAUUACUGGGCGUAAAGCGUGCGCAGGCGGAUUGUUAAGCAAGAUGUGAAAUCCCCGGGCUUAACCUGGGAAUGGCAUUUUGAACUGGCAGUCUAGAGUGUGUCAGAGGGGGGUGGAAUUCCACGUGUAGCAGUGAAAUGCGUAGAUAUGUGGAAGAAUACCUGUGGCGAAGGCGGUUUUCUAGCUUACACCUGACGCUGAGGCGCGAAAGCAAGGGGAUCAAACAGG